rnacentral:tRNA from 1 species
GGGAAUGUGGCUUAGUGGUGUAGAGUGCUUGCCUAGCAUGCAUGAAGCCCUGGGUUCAAUUCCUCAGUACCA